rnacentral:rRNA from 1 species
UAANGACUCACACUGAGACCGCUCGUUUUACAGCCUAACACAUGCAAGUCGAACGGCAGCACAGGAGAGCUUGCUCUCUGGGUGGCGAGUGGCGGACGGGUGAGGAAUACAUCGGAAUCUACUNUUCGUGGGGGAUAACGUAGGAAACUUACGCUAAUACCGCAUACGACCUACGUGGUGAAAGCAGUGGUGAUCUUCGUGACCUUGCGCGAUUGAAUGAGCCGAUGUCGGAUUAGCUAGUUGGCUGGGGUAAAGGCCCACCAAGGCGACGAUCCGUAGCUGGUCUNGAGAGGAUGAUCAGCCACACUGGAACUGAGACACGGUCCAGACUCCUACGGGAGGCAUGCAUGUGGGGAAUAUUUGGACAAUGGGCGCAAGCCUGAUCCAGCCAUACCGCGUAGGGUGAAUGCAAGGCCUUCGNGGUUGUAAAGCCCUUUAUGUUGGGGAAAGAAAUCCAGCUGGCUAAUAACCCGGUUGGGAUAGACGGUACCCAAAAGAAUAAGCACCGGCUAACUUNCGUGCCAGCAGACGCGGUAAUACGAAGGGUGCAAGCGUAACUCGGAAUUACUGAGCGUUACAAGCGU